rnacentral:rRNA from 1 species
UACGUAGGGUGCGAGCGUUGUCCGGAAUUAUUGGGCGUAAAGAGCUUGUAGGCGGUUUGUCGCGUCUGCUGUGAAAAUCCGGGGCUCAACCCCGGACUUGCAGUGGGUACGGGCAGACUAGAGUGUGGUAGGGGAGACUGGAAUUCCUGGUGUAGCGGUGAAAUGCGCAGAUAUCAGGAGGAACACCGAUGGCGAAGGCAGGUCUCUGGGCCGAUACUGACGCUGAGGAGCGAAAGCGUGGGGAGCAAACAGG